rnacentral:RNase_P_RNA from 1 species
CGUGCAAGUCGUCUUGUCGCUCUUCCGAUAGCUAUCGGGAGGGAGGAAAGUCCGGGCAACAUAGAGCGCCAUACUUCCUAACGGGAAGGGGGCUGACCGGUGACGGUCAGUUUACAGCCAGUGCCACAGAAAAUAUACCGCCCUUCGGCUUCGGGGCCUGCCCUGAUGCCGAUAGCUAUCGGCACGAAGGGUAAGGGUGAAAUGGUGGGGUAAGAGCCCACCGUCCCGAUGGUGACAUCGGGAGCAAGGCAAACCUUAUGGGUUGAAAGAUCAAAUAGGUUCCGCGCCGGAUUUAGUUCCGGGAAAAGUUGCUCGCUUUUAUGCGGAAUGGGUAGAUCGAUGGAUCCCGAUUGCAAAGUCGGGGCUAGAUAAAUGACAGGAAACCGAUUCCGGAAACGGAGGAGGAAACAGAACCCGGCUUAUAGACUUGCACUUUUU